rnacentral:ncRNA from 1 species
UAUAGCAUGAGCCGGUGCCUGGCUCUCUCGACAGACGCUUCGAAUGAUAUUCAAUUCGAAGCUCUAUCAGAGGCCUCGCUGAGAUCAUACGGCUGAACUUGAUCUGGACAAUGCCAGCGAAGAAGAAUCAUGCUCUGCCCCAUA